rnacentral:rRNA from 1 species
GAUUCUGGCUCAGGAUGAACGCUGGCGGCGUGCUUAACACAUGCAAGUCGAACGGGAUCCAUCAGGCUUUGCUUGGUGGUGAGAGUGGCGAACGGGUGAGUAAUGCGUGACCGACCUGCCCCAUACACCGGAAUAGCUCCUGGAAACGGGUGGUAAUGCCGGAUGCUCCAGCCUUCCGCAUGGUGGGCUGGGAAAGAUUGUAUCGGUAUGGGAUGGGGUCGCGUCCUAUCAGGUAGUCGGCGGGGUAACGGCCCACCGAGCCUACGACGGGUAGCCGGCCUGAGAGGGCGACCGGCCACAUUGGGACUGAGAUACGGCCCAGACUCCUACGGGAGGCAGCAGUGGGGAAUAUUGCACAAUGGGCGCAAGCCUGAUGCAGCGACGCCGCGUGCGGGAUGACGGCCUUCGGGUUGUAAACCGCUUUUGAUCGGGAGCAAGCCUUCGGGUGAGUGUACCUUUCGAAUAAGCACCGGCUAACUACGUGCCAGCAGCCGCGGUAAUACGUAGGGUGCAAGCGUUAUCCGGAAUUAUUGGGCGUAAAGGGCUCGUAGGCGGUUCGUCGCGUCCGGUGUGAAAGUCCAUCGCUUAACGGUGGAUCUGCGCCGGGUACGGGCGGGCUGGAGUGCGGUAGGGGAGACUGGAAUUCCCGGUGUAACGGUGGAAUGUGUAGAUAUCGGGAAGAACACCAAUGGCGAAGGCAGGUCUCUGGGCCGUUACUGACGCUGAGGAGCGAAAGCGUGGGGAGCGAACAGGAUUAGAUACCCUGGUAGUCCACGCCGUAAACGGUGGAUGCUGGGAUGUGGGGCCCGUUCCACGGGUUCCGUGUCGGAGCUAACGCGUUAAGCAUCCCGCCUGGGGAGUACGGCCGCAAGGCUAAAACUCAAAGAAAUUGACGGGGGCCCGCACAAGCGGCGGAGCAUGCGGAUUAAUUCGAUGCAACGCGAAGAACCUUACCUGGGCUUGACAUGUUCCCGACCGCUCCAGAGAUGGGGCUUCCCUUCGGGGCGGGUUCACAGGUGGUGCAUGGUCGUCGUCAGCUCGUGUCGUGAGAUGUUGGGUUAAGUCCCGCAACGAGCGCAACCCUCGCCCUGUGUUGCCAGCACGUCAUGGUGGGAACUCACGGGGGACCGCCGGGGUCAACUCGGAGGAAGGUGGGGAUGACGUCAGAUCAUCAUGCCCCUUACGUCCAGGGCUUCACGCAUGCUACAAUGGCCGGUACAACGGGAUGCGACACGGCGACGUGGAGCGGAUCCCUGAAAACCGGUCUCAGUUCGGAUUGGAGUCUGCAACCCGACUCCAUGAAGGCGGAGUCGCUAGUAAUCGCGGAUCAGCAACGCCGCGGUGAAUGCGUUCCCGGGCCUUGUACACACCGCCCGUCAAGUCAUGAAAGUGGG